rnacentral:rRNA from 1 species
AUUUGAACGCAUAUUGCGGCUACGGGGUAUCUCGUGGCCACGCCUGUUCGAGGGUU